GGUAAAAUUUUAUUUUUUUAUUUAAAUACUCUUGUACUAAUAUAUAUUGUUUUUAGGAGAGAAAAUAAAAUAAAAUGAAAAAAUAAGUGCGUAUAAAAAAAAGAAAAAGAAAGGUCACCUUGAAUGUUUUUGUUUUAAAUCUGUUUCUUUUUGUUCUUUUUAUUUCUAAAUAAUGCUUGUAAAAAAAAACGAGGAAGAGACUCCCUUUUUUACAAAACCUCCAGAUCGGUUUUCUCCCCCCUUUUUUUUACAACCUCUUUCGGGUUUAUAUCCGAAAAUCAAAAUAGAAAAAUAUUUGCUCAUCUUUUGUGUUGCCUGUUUCUUUGCGUGUUUGCUCUGUUUUGCAGGUGAGCAGUUGGGUGACGGGACGUGCGCGGCGCAAGUGGCAGAGCAGGUGGACGAAGGCCCUAGGUGCGGCACACCUAGGGUUGCUGCUGUUUCUUUUUCUUUUCUGCAAAUGGGCUAGGGUUAGGUAGAUUGGGUUUGGGCUUGUUGGGCUAUUUGUUUUGGGUUUGUUAAUAGUUUAGUUUGUAUUGGUUUUGAUGGGUUUUGGGAUGGUGUUGUAGUGGGUUUGGUAUUUGGGCCCAUUAUUUGUGUUUGCUGUUUGUUGUUUGGGCCGGGCGAAAUUGGGCUUCUACAAUGUCUUACCGAUUUCUAAGGGGUAAGACAUUUUCCACAGCUCCUCUCUUCACUCUCUUCACCCUAACGAUUACAGCCUCAUCAUCUCUGCCUCGUGUUCUCUGCUAGUUCACCUCUUCUCUUUGCUUGCCUCGUUAGCGUACUGGUUCACCUCUGCUGGUUCAUCGAAGAUGGAUCGUAAUCAACAUCAAAAUGCAAUUGUCGGAGUCGUGGCUUCAGUUUUAGCUUUUAGGGCUCUUUGGAUUAAAAAAAUUAAAAAUUAGGAAGGAAAUUGCUUUUCACCCUCGUGUGAAUCGAGAUUGUGAAAGAGAAUUAUAUUAAUAGUAUUUUAUAUAGUGGUGACCAGCAUUGUAUUGAUGUGAUAAGGAUGAGACCGAUCGCCUUUUUUAAUUUGUGUGAUAUUCUUAGUAGGAAUAAUUUGUUACAAUCAUCUAAAUCUGUGAAUAU